GAUGAACGCUGGCGGCGUGCCUAAUACAUGCAAGUCGAGCGAACGGACGAGAAGCUUGCUUCUCUGAUGUUAGCGGCGGACGGGUGAGUAACACGUGGAUAACCUACCUAUAAGACUGGGAUAACUUCGGGAAACCGGAGCUAAUACCGGAUGAUAUUUUGAACCGCAUGGUUCAAAAGUGAAAGACGGUCUUGCUGUCACUUAUAGAUGGAUCCGCGCUGCAUUAGCUAGUUGGUAAGGUAACGGAUUACCAAGGCAACGAUGCAUAGCCGACCUGAGAGGGUGAUCGGCCACACUGGAACUGAGACACGGUCCAGACUCCUACGGGAGGCAGCAGUAGGGAAUCUUCCGCGAUGGGCGAAAGCCUGACGGAGCAACGCCGCGUGAGUGAUGAAGGUCUUCGGAUCGUAAAACUCUGUUAUUAGGGAAGAACAUAUGUGUAAGUAACUGUGCACAUCUUGACGGUACCUAAUCAGAAAGCCACGGCUAACUACGUG
rnacentral:rRNA from 1 species